AUUGAACGCUGGCGGCAUGCCUUACACAUGCAAGUCGAACGGUAACGCGGGGCAACCUGGCGACGAGUGGCGAACGGGUGAGUAAUGCAUCGGAACGUGCCCGGUAGUGGGGGAUAACUGCUCGAAAGAGCAGCUAAUACCGCAUACGACCUGAGGGUGAAAGGGGGGGAUCGCAAGACCUCUCGCUAUCGGAGCGGCCGAUGUCGGAUUAGCUAGUUGGUGGGGUAAAGGCCCACCAAGGCAACGAUCCGUAGCUGGUCUGAGAGGACGACCAGCCAGACUUGGACGGAGACACGGCCCAGACUCCUACGGGAGGCAGCAGUGGGGAAUUUUGGACAAUGGACGCAAGUCUGAUCCAGCCAUGCCGCGUGCGGGAAGAAGGCCUUCGGGUUGUAAACCGCUUUUGUCAGGGAAGAAAUCCUUUGGGCUAAUACCCUGGGGGGAUGACGGUACCUGAAGAAUAAGCACCGGCUAACUACGUGCCAGCCGCCGCCGUAACAC
rnacentral:rRNA from 1 species